UGUGUAUAUAAGGGUUAAAACCCUCCUGGA
rnacentral:piRNA from 1 species